rnacentral:lncRNA from 1 species
CGGAAGGCGGUGGUGGGCCCAUACUCAAAGCUGGGCACUAUCGCCUGCCUGCUGUGUGACCGCAGGGGAGUUGCUCGGCUUCUCUGAGCCCGCAUCCCCUGGUCUCUAAGAAGAGGAAGAACAGGUGGGCACAGUAGUGGUGCAGCGGGCUCCGCCAGUUGUGGCGGCAUGCAUCUCCUAGGGCAGUGCCUGCGGUCAAAUCCUGGCGCCUCUGCCUCUGACCCAGCUCCCUGCUGAUGUGCCUGGGAGAGCAGUGGGAGAUGGACCCUGCACCCGCGUGGGAGACCCGGAUGGAGGCCCUGGCUCUGGCUGCAGGUUGGCCCAGCCCUGGCUAUUGCAGACAUUUGGGGAAUGCAUCAGCGGAUGGAAGGUUCUCUCUCUCUCUCUCUCUCUCUCUCUCCCUCUCUCUCUCUUCUCUCUGCCUUUCAAAAGGUUUUGAGUGUCGAGGCCUGAGACAGCGGCUCAGUCACCUAUUUGGUCCAUCCUCAUGCUCCUGCCCACGACGGCUCUGUGAAGUCACAAAUGCUGUUCACUGUCCAAAGCCACCUGUCCAGCAGCCUCUUCGGAAAGAACCCGAGGAGCCGAUGGCAGGAUGCGCGCUGGUGCCUUCCCAGUUUCCCUUCGGAUGCAUUACAGGGAAGCAACCCAUCCGUACGCCCCCUGCACACAUGCGCCCCAGCGCCAGCUUCUGUGGACAGCUUGCUGUAUGCCAUGGCCGCUCUCUCUCCCCACCCAGUGCAUAUACCCAUGCUGCACAUAUUUGCCAUAUUUGAUUUUUUUUUUUUUUGACAGGCAGAGUUAGACAGUGAGAGAGAGAGACAGAGAGAAAAGUCUUCCUUCCAUUGGUUCACCCCCCAAAUGGCUGCUAUGGCUGGCACUCCGUGCCAAUCCGAAGCCAGGAGCCAGGUGCUUCCUCCUGGUCUCCCAUGGGGUGCAGGGCCCAAGCACUUGGGUCAUCCUCCACUGCCCUCCAGGGCCACAGCAGAGAGCUGGACUGAAAGAGGAGCGACUGGGACAGAAUCUGGUGCCCCAACCGGGACUAGAACCUGGGGUGCCAGCGCUGCAGGCAGAGGAUUAGCCUAGUGAGCCACGGUGCCCGCAUGCCAUAUUUGAUUUCUAAAAAUCAAUAGAAAAUGUAUUGCUUGGGCGAUUGGGAAGAGAAUAAAGAGAUUAAAAAUUAAAUCCCUUUAAAAACA